rnacentral:rRNA from 1 species
AUUGAACGCUGGCGGCAGGCCUAACACAUGCGAGUCGAGCGGAUGAAGGGAGCUUGCUCCUGGAUUCAGCGGCGGACGGGUGAGUAAUGCCUAGGAAUCUGCCUGGUAGUGGGGGAUAACGUCCGGAAACGGGCGCUAAUACCGCAUACGUCCUGAGGGAGAAAGUGGGGGAUCUUCGGACCUCACGCUAUCAGAUGAGCCUAGGUCGGAUUAGCUAGUUGGUGGGGUAAAGGCCUACCAAGGCGACGAUCCGUAACUGGUCUGAGAGGAUGAUCAGUCACACUGGAACUGAGACACGGUCCAGACUCCUACGGGAGGCAGCAGUGGGGAAUAUUGGACAAUGGGCGAAAGCCUGAUCCAGCCAUGCCGCGUGUGUGAAGAAGGUCUUCGGAUUGUAAAGCACUUUAAGUUGGGAGGAAGGGCAGUAAGUUAAUAUCUUGCUGUUUUGACGUUACCAACAGAAUAAGCACCGGCUAACUUCGUG